rnacentral:rRNA from 1 species
UACAGAGGGUGCGAGCGUUGCUCGGAAUCACUGGGCGUAAAGCGCACGUAGGCGGCUUCUUAAGUCAGGGGUGAAAUCCUGGAGCUCAACUCCAGAACUGCCUUUGAUACUGAGGAGCUUGAGUCCGGGAGAGGUGAGUGGAACUGCGAGUGUAGAGGUGAAAUUCGUAGAUAUUCGCAAGAACACCAGUGGCGAAGGCGGCUCACUGGCCCGGUACUGACGCUGAGGUGCGAAAGCGUGGGGAGCAAACAGG